AAAAUGCUUGUCCAACUGUGCCUACAUCUUGAGCAGGGAACUGAUUCAUACUAUCUGAGAUGUAUCCUUUAACUUUCCUAAACAACCAGCCAAGCUCACAAAGCUUCCUAACAACACUUCUCGUAGCCCUUGGAACUUUCAUCCAAUCAGGCAACACAUAACCAUCCUCAUUCUUAUCAUACUUUACAUACUUCCCGUCAAUCCCUUGACAAGCAUAUAGCACAUCCCUCACUAAAACAUCCUCAGAUACCUCAUUUUCUUCCUUCGACAAGUUUACAAACUCCUUAUACGCCAUAUCACGUA
rnacentral:misc_RNA from 1 species